CCAGACUCGGUUUCUUGGUUCCGUCCCAAAACGCCGAAGAAAGGCACAAUGGCCUAGAAAGGGAUAGUCGGACUUGGAACGGGGUCCGAGGCCUCGAAAGUCCACAUCUAGCUACUGGGUGGUCCGAUUCUGAGUGAUCUCGAACUUUCUUGUCCACAAAAGCCGAACGGUGACGCCCCAGACUCGGUUUCUUGGUUCCGUCCCAAAACGCCGAAGAAAGGCACAAUGGCCUAGAAAGGGACGGUCGGACUUGGAACGGGGUCCGAGGCCUCGAAAGUCCACAUCAAGCUACUGGGUGGUCCGAUUCUGAGUGAUCUCGAAGUUUCUAGCCACAAAAGCCGAACGGUGACGCCCCAGACUCGGUUUUUUGGUUCCGUCCCAAAACGCCGAAGAAAGGCACAAUGGCCUAGAAAGGGACGGUCGGACAUGGAACGGGGUCCGAGGCGUCGAAAGUCCACAUCUAGCUACUGGGUGGUCCGAUUCCGAGUGAUCUCGAAGUUUCUUGCCCACAAAAGCCGAACGGUGCGCCCCAGACUCGGUUUCUUGGUUCCGUCCCGAAACGCCGAAGAAAGGCACAAUGGCCUCGAAAGGGACGGUCGGACUUGGAACGGGGUCUGAGGCCUCGAAAGUCCACAUCUAGCUACUUGGUGGUCCGAUUCUGAGUGAUCUCGAAGUUUCUUGCCCAGAAAAGCCGAACGGUGUCGCCCUAGACUCGGUUUCUUGGUUCCGUCCCAAAACGCCGAAGAAAGGCACAAUGGCCCAGUAAGGGACGGUCGGACUAGGAACGGGGUCCGAGGCCUCGAAAGUCCACAUCUAGCUACUGGGUGGUCCGAUUCUGAGUGAUCUCGAAGUUUCUUGCCCACAAAAGCCGAACGGUGACGCCCCAGACUCGGUUUCUUGGUUUUGUCCCAUAACGCCGAAGAAAGGCACAGUGGCCUAGAAAGGGACGGUCGGACUUGGAACGGGGUCCUAGGCCUCGAAAGUCCACAUCUAGCUACUUGAUGGUCCGAUUCUGAGUGAUCUCGAAGUUUCUUGGCCACAAAAGCCGAACGGUGACGCCCCAGACUCGGUUUCUUGGUUCCGUACCAAAACGCCGAAGAAAGGCACAGUGGCCUAGAAAGGGACGGUCGGACUUGGAACGGGGUCCGAGGCCUCGAAAGUCCACAUCUAGCUACUGGGUGGUCCGAUUCUGAGUUAUCUCGAAGUUUCUUGCGCACAAAAACCAAACGGUGACGCCCCAGACUCGGUUUCUUGGUUCCUUCCGAAAACGCCGAAGAAAGACACAAUGGCCUAGAAAGGGACGGUCGGACUUGGAACGCAGUCCGGGGCCUCGAAAGUCCACAUCUAGCUACUGGGUGGUCCGAUUCUGAGUGAUCUCGAAGUUUCUUGCCCACAAAAGCCGAACGGUGUCGCCCCAGACUCGGUUUCUUGGUUCCGUCCCAAAACGUCGAAGAAAGGCACAUUGGCCUAGAAAGGGACGGUCGGACUUGGAACGGUGUCCGAGGCCUCGAAAGUCCACAUCUAGCUACUCCGUGGUCCGAUUCUGAGUGAUCUCGAAGUUUCUUGCCCACAAAAGGCGAACGGUGACGCCCCAGACUCGGUUUCUUGGUUCCGUCCAAAAACGCCGAAGAAAGGGACAAUGGCCUAGAAAGGGACGGUCGGACUUGGAACGCGGUCCGAGGCCUCGAAAGUCCACAUCUAACUACCGGGUGGUCCGAUUCUGAGUGAUCUCGAAGUUUCUUGCCCACAAAAGCUGAACGGUGACGCCCCAAACUCGGUUUCUUGGUUCCGUCCCAAAACGCCGAAGAAAGGCACAAUUUCCUAGAAAGGGACGAUCGGACUUGGAACGGGUCCGAGGCCUCGAAAGUCCACAUCUAGCUACUGGGUGGUCCGAUUCUGAGUGAUCUCGAAGUUUCUUGCCCACAAAAGCCGAACGGUGACGCCCCAGACUCGGUUUCUUGGUUCCGUCCCAAAACGCUGAAGAAAGGCACAAUGGCCUAGAAAGGGACGGUCGGACUUGGAACGAGGUCCGAGGCCUCGAAAGUACACAUGUAGCUACUGGGUGGUCUGAUUCUUAGUGACCUUGAAGUUUCUUAACCACAAAAGCCGAACGGUGACGCCCCAGACUCGGUUUCUUGGUUCCCUCCCAAAACGCCGAAGAAAGGCACAAUGGCCUAGAAAGGGACGGUCGGACUUGGAACGGGGUCCGAAGCCUCGAAAGUCCACAUGUAGCUACUGGGUGGUCCGAUUCUUUGUGAUCUCGAAGUUUCUUGACCACAAAAGCCGAACGGUGACGCCCAGACUCGGUUUCUUGGUUCCGUCCCAAAACGCCGAAGAAAAGCACAAUGGCCUAGAAAGGGACGGUCGGACUUGGAACGGGGUCCGAGGCCUCGAAAGUCCACAUCUAGCUACUGGGUGGUCUGAUUCUUUGUGAUCUCGAAGUUUCUUGCCCACAAAAGCCGAACGGUGACGCCCAGACUCGGUUUCUUAGUUCCGUCCCAAAACGCCGAAGAAAGGCACAAUUUCCUAGAAAGGGACGGUCGGACUUGGAACGGGGUCCGAGGCCUCGAAAGUCCAUAUCUAGCUACUGGGUGGUCCGAUUCUGAGUGAUCUCGAAGUUUCUUGCCCACAAAAGCCGAACGGUGACGCCCGAGACUCGGUUUCUUGGUUCCGUCCCAAAACGCCGAAGAAAAGCACAAUGGCCUAGAAAGGGACGGUCGGACUUGGAACGGGGUCCGAGGCCUCGAAAGUCCACAUCUAGCUACUGGGUGGUCUGAUUCUUUGUGAUCUCGAAGUUUCUUGCCCACAAAAGCCGAACGGUGACGCCCCAGACUCGGUUUCUUGGUUCCGUCCCAAAACGCCGAAGAAAGGCACAAUGGACUAGAAAGAGACGGUCGGACUUGGAACGGGGUCCGAGGCCUCAAAAGUCCACAUCUAGCUACUGGGUGGUCCGAUUCUUUGUGAUCUCGAAGUUUCUUGCCCACAAAAGCCGAACGGUGACGCCCCAGACUCGGUUUCUUGGUUCCGUCACAAAACGCCGAAGAAAGGCACAAUGGCCUAGAAAGGGACGGUCGGACUUGGAACGGGGUCCGAGGCCUCGAAAGUCCACAUCUAGCUACUGGGUGGUCCGAUUCUUUGUGAUCUCGAAGUUUCUUGCCCACAAAAGCCGAACGGUGACGCCCCAGACUCGGUUUCUUGGUUCCAUCCCAAAACGCGGAAGAAAGGCACAAUGGCCUAGAAAGGGACGGUCGGACUUGGAACGGGGUCCGUUGCCUCGAAAGUCCACAUCUAGCUACUGGGUGGUCCGAUUCUGAGUGAUCUCGAAGUUUCUUGCCCACAAAAGCCGAACGGUGACGCCUAGACUCGGUUUCUUGGUUUCGUCCCAAAACGCCGAAGAAAGGCACAGUGGCCUAGAAAGGGACGGUCGGACUUGGAACGGGGUCUGAGGCCUCGAAAGUCCACAUCUAGCUACUGGGUGGUCCGAUUCUUUGUGAUCUCGAAGUUUCUUGCCCACAAAAGCCGAACGGUGACGCCCAGACUCGGUUUCUUGGUUCCGUCCCAAAACGCCGAAAAAAGGCACAAUGGCCUAGAAAGGGACGGUCGGACUUGGAACGGGGUCCGAGGCCUCGAAAGUCCACAUCUAGCUACUGGUGGUCCGAUUCUUUGUGAUCUGGAAGUUUCUUGCCCACAAAAGCCGAACGGUGAUGCCCGAGACUCGGUUUCUUGGUUCCGUCCCAAAACGCCGAAGAAAGGCACAAUGGCCUAGAAAUGGACGGUCCGACUCGGAACGGGGUCCGAGGCCUCGAAAGUCCACAUCUAGCUACUGGGUGGUUCGAUUCAGAGUGAUCUCGAAGUUUCUUGCUCACAAAAGCCGAACGGUGACACCCCAGACUCGGUUUCUUGGUUCCGUCCCAAAACGCCGAAGAAAGGCACAAUGGCCUAGAAAGGGACGAUCGGACUUGGAACGGGGUCCGAGGCCUCGAUAGUCCACAUCUAGCUACUAGGUGGUCCGAUUCUUUGUGAUCUUGAAGUUUCUUGCCCACAAAAGCCGAACGGUGACGCCCCAGACUCGGUUUCUUGGUUUCGUCCCAAAACGCCGAAGAAAGGCACAAUGGCCUAGAAAGGGACGGUCGGACUUGGAACGGGGUCCGAGGCCUCGAAAGUCCACAUCUAGCUACUGGGUGGUCCGAUUCUUUGUGAUCUCGAAGUUUCUUGCACACAAAAGCCGAACGGUGACGCCCCAGACUCGGUUUCUUGGUUCCGUCCCAAAACGCCGAAGAAAGGCACAAUGGCCUAGAAAGGGACGGUCGGACUCGGAACGGGGUCCGAGGCCUCGAAAGUCCACAUCUAGCGACUGGGUGGUCCGAUUCAGAGUGAUCUCGAAGUUUCUUGCCCACAAAAGCCAAACGGUGACUCCCCAGACUCGGUUUCUUGGUUCCGUCCCAAAACGCCGAAGAAAGGCACAAUGGCUUAGAAAGGGACGGUCGGACUUGGAACGGGGUCCGAGGCCUCGAAAGUCCACAUCUAGCUACUGGGUGGUCCGAUUCUUUGUGAUCUCGAAGUUUCUUGCCCACAAAAGCCGAACGGUGACGCCCGAGACUCGGUUUCUUGGUUCCGUCCCAAAACGCCGAAGAAAGGCACAAUGGCCUAGAAAGGGACGGUCGGACUUGGAACGGGGUCCGAGGCCUCGAAAGUCCACAUCUAGCGACUGGGUGGUCCAAUUCAGAGUGAUCUCGAAGUUUCUUGCCCACAAAAGCCGAACGGUGACGCCCCAGACUCGGUUUCUUGGUUCCGUCCCAAAACGCCGAAGAAAGGCACAAUGGCCUAGAAAGGGACGGUUGGACUUGGAACGGGGUCCGAGGCCUCGAAAGUCCACAUCUAGCUACUAGGUGGUCCGAUUCUUUGUGAUCUUGAAGUUUCUUGCCCACAAAAGCCUAACGGUGACGCCCCAGACUCGGUUUCUUGGUUUCGUCCCAAAACGCCGAAGAAAGGCACAAUGGCCUAGAAAGGGACGGUCGGACUUGGAACGGGGUCCGAGGCCUCGAAAGUCCACAUCUAGCUACUGGGUGGUCCGAUUCUUUGUGAUCUCGAAGUUUCUUGCCCACAAAAGCCGAACGGUGACGCCCAGACUCGGUUUCUUGGUUCCGUCCCAAAACGCCGAAGAAAGGCACAAUGGCCUAGAAAGGGACGGUCGGACUCGGAACGAGGUCCGAGGACUCGAAAGUCCACAUCUAGCUACUGAGUGGUCCGAUUCUGAGUGAUCUCGAAGUUUCUUGCCCACAAAAGCCGAACGGUGAC
rnacentral:lncRNA from 1 species